rnacentral:rRNA from 1 species
CCUACGGGCGGCAGCAGUGGGGAAUAUUGCACAAUGGGCGCAAGCCUGAUGCAGCCAUGCCGCGUGUGUGAAGAAGGCCUUCGGGUUGUAAAGCACUUUCAGCGGGAGGAAGGCGGUGAGGUUAAUAACCUCAUCGAUUGACGUUACCCGCAGAAGAAGCACCGGCUAACUCCGUGCCAGCAGCCGCGGUAAUACGGAGGGUGCAAGCGUUAAUCGGAAUUACUGGGCGUAAAGCGCACGCAGGCGGUCUGUCAAGUCGGAUGUGAAAUCCCCGGGCUCAACCUGGGAACUGCAUUCGAAACUGGCAGGCUAGAGUCUUGUAGAGGGGGGUAGAAUUCCAGGUGUAGCGGUGAAAUGCGUAGAGAUCUGGAGGAAUACCGGUGGCGAAGGCGGCCCCCUGGACAAAGACUGACGCUCAGGUGCGGAAGCGUGGGGAGCAAACAGGAUUAGAUACCCUUGUAGUC